rnacentral:rRNA from 1 species
GACGAACGCUGGCGGCGUGCUUAACACAUGCAAGUCGAACGGAAAGGCCCCUUUGGGGGUACUCGAGUGGCGAACGGGUGAGUAACACGUGAGUAACCUGCCCUUGACUUCGGGAUAACUUCAGGAAACUGGGGCUAAUACCGGAUAGGAAUCCUUGCUGCAUGGUGGGGGUUGGAAAGCUUCGGGGGUUUUGGAUGGACUCGCGGCUUAUCAGCUUGUUGGUGGGGUAGUGGCUUACCAAGGCUUUGACGGGUAGCCGGCCUGUGGGGGCGACCGGCCACAUUGGGACUGAGAGGCGGCCCAGACUCCGACUGGAGGCAGCAGUGGGGAAGAUUGCACAAUGGGCGGAAGCCGGAUGCAGCAGCGCCGCGUGCGGGAUGACGGCCUUCGGGUUGUAAACCGCUUUCAGCAGGGGCGAAGCUUGUGGUGACGGUACCUGCAGAAGAAGCACCGGCUAACUACGUG